UACGGAGGGAGCUAGCGUUGUUCGGAAUUACUGGGCGUAAAGCGCGCGUAGGCGGCUUUGUAAGUUAGAGGUGAAAGCCCGGGGCUCAACUCCGGAACUGCCUUUAAAACUGCAUCGCUUGAAUCCAGGAGAGGUGAGUGGAAUUCCGAGUGUAGAGGUGAAAUUCGUAGAUAUUCGGAAGAACACCAGUGGCGAAGGCGGCUCACUGGACUGGUAUUGACGCUGAGGUGCGAAAGCGUGGGGAGCAAACAGG
rnacentral:rRNA from 1 species